AGAGAGCAAGCCAGUCGGGCCUUGGAUGACAAAAAAGCCUGCAAAGAAAUUCCGCGAAAUAAGAGCCUUUAGGAAGUGAAAUCGCGCGUUUUAAAACUAGGCUUGGCUCUUAGUGAGGGUUUCAUAAACCGAGGCGUUGUGAUCUCCGAGUGGUAGGAAUACAUGUAAUUUUAAUUUGCAUUUCUAAAUUGUCUGCUACGAGCAUACUUUUUCCAUUUCACGUGUUAAAACGAGGGUCCCGGGGUCUACCCUCAGCCCCCUGGCACGCGGGGCACUUCGAGGCUCCUGCCCUCCUGGCAGCUAGGGAGCAAUUCAGGCACGUGGAUAUUAGAAUGGAGCAAUCCCAUGAGCCCCCCGCCUGUUCACCUUUUUUGAAGCCAAUUACAAAAUGUGGAAUUCCCUAGAAUCACAAAGUGAUACUUUCUUUAACAAGUAGUUACUGCUUCCUCUGUGCUUAGGUUCCAGGGACACAAAGAUUAGGAAAACUCCUAUCUGAUGGUUGGAAAUGGGCAAAAAGUGAAAAGACAGAAUGGUUCUAGGGGCACAAUUUCUCUUAUUUCCAGGAGUGGGCCAUGAGUCUCCCACACGUACUUUCUUCCUCCGAGUUGGCAGAGCUAAAUCAGCGACUAUUGAAAACUGAGGGCGUCCUGAGCGCACGCAGCUUCAGGGGGCUGGAAAACAGCCAAGAAAUUUGACAGGUCCCAGAAGGCUAAGCAGAAUAAAUGAGCGUCCAAGUCUUUAAAAUAUAUGUUGAAGUAUAAAAUUUGGUCACUGGUCAUAAGCAGGGACAGAGUCCACAAAGCAGAAAAAACAUCCCAGCAAGGAACACCAGAUAAAGGAGUAAAGAAGAUAGCUGUCCUGGGUACAGCUCUGGAUUUCUCAACUGAAGUGUUUCAUCACAGUCUUGAAAAAUCAGGAUUGUUCAGGCUUGCAGGAAGUGGAUUGUCUGAUUCUAAGUUUUACUUGAAAUUUUGGGGGAAAAAAUUGACAACAGUUUUCUAAAGGGACUCCCUCAUCUUGAUCAACCAAGUAUUCCCCCUCCUCCCAGUUUCCAGCAAGAAGAGAACAAUUUGCCUUUGUAACAACUUGGGGUUCUCCUGAAAAUCUCCACCCUAUACCUGUGUUCAACCAUUUGCAUUCAAUGAUUUUUACUUGGUUUCUGGGAGCUGGGUGUCCACACACAAUAAACUGUUAUUUGCAACAUCAUGAUCAGAUCCACUGCCUGGAAACCCGGGGACUCUGGGUUACCUUUACCUUGCUCUCAAGGGAGCAGAACCUGGGAGAGCAAAGAGAAGUUCUUAGAACCUUUUUCCAGGAAGAAGCCAGGUGAUAGGAAACCAGAGUCGCUACGGACAUCAAGCCUUGUUUGUGUCCUCCUUACGCAAAAGCUCCUUUUAUUGUCAAGGAAACAAGCUCAAGGACGUGAGGAAUAAGCCAACAGUAGGACGGAUGGCUGAUGAGCAUGGGGUUCUGUGCCAGGCACUGGCAUCCCUUCUGUCUUUCAUUCCUGCGGGGCAGGAACUGGCUCCAUUUCUCAGAGGAGGAAGGGUGAGAGGUGCUGACGUGGUUGGCACGGUACGGUUGCCCGUGUCUCGUGGCAUCUCUGCAUUAGACACGGCAUCACAUGCUACCCAUGGUGUUCAUUAUAACUGUUCGUGUGGUUUCCUCUGCCUGUCAAGACCUCUCAUAGGUGGCCAAUUGCCCUGGUGUGUCCAGGACUGAGCGGUUUCCCAGAACUCAGGACGUUUAGUGGGAUAUAUUGAUAGUCACAGCAAACCAGGAUAGUUGAUUGUCCUAUCAGAGAAGGAAGCAGGGACCAGAUCAUAUGCACUUUUGUGCCCCUGAGCCACUUGGUUACACUGAGUAAAUAUUAUCGAUCAAAUUUGCCCUUUCUGGCGGAGUACUUGGGAGGCACUCCCUAAUCAGCUGCUUAUCUGAGGCACAGAAAGGCUAACAGCGACUUGGCCAGGACCCACUGGCAAAUCCCUGAUGCUCCAGCCCCAAGCCUGUUGGCCUCCCCAGUGUCCUGCCUGCAGCUGCCCAUCCAGAACCAUCCUCUGAGAUUCCUGAGAUAGGAAUCCACCUUGUGUAACCAGUAAGGGCUUAUUUGCCUAAAAUCUGCCCAAGAAGCUGCGCUUCCCCCCACCCCCACCCUAUUUUUUAACAAGCAAAAACUCUGCCUUUCGAAACUUUCUGUGCCUUAAACAACAAGUGGGCAUUUUGCUCCAAGGAUCAUUAUAUCGGGCCUUCAGCUAAGGACAGACAUAGGAACAUUCUAGGCAGGCCACUUAACAAGGCUAGCUCUGUCACGUGGACCAAGACCCUUGACUGCUUUGGCUCUGAGUGUCCUCAAUGACCAGCUGAAAACCUUGGACUCAUUGUUCUGGGACAUAGCAGGGUGCUUCUGUGAACAUCAGUUAUCGUCAUCUAUAAAGUUGGCAUCAUACCUUUUAAGG